UAUUUCAUCCUUGAUAUAUAUUGGGUCAGGACUUGGUAAUCUGCAUCCUGAGGUUUGGAUCAUCAAGUAGUUUGAUCCAGUCCUUGGGUUGCAGAUUACCUCUUCCUCACUGCCAAUGCAGAGCUUUCUAUCGAACCUGGACGAGUCAAAGUCAGUUGAGGUGGCUACACUACAGGUGGGCAUGAGAUACCAGUACUGAGAGCUAGCUGCACAACAGCACUAAUAAUUCUUCUCCAUUUCUAGCUCUAGGUUUUGAUCCUGUUGGAAAACUACACAUUUUACUUGUGGUUCCACUCUCAAAAUAGUUCAGGUAUGGCCAUACUGGAAAGUAAUGAGUUCACAUAUCCAACCCUGAUACUGAAUUUGGGAGGGUCAGGGGAAUCCUACUGACUGCAGCUUUCUCCAGACCAAGCACUCCCAAUAGCUUCGUCCUUGCUUUCAAUGAAGUCCCUGCCAGCUUUGAAGAUUAAAAAAUCUCACCAUCUCCACCCGGAAGAAAAUGAAACUUCCACACAAGAGUGUAAUGAAAGAUCCAAAGUCCUUUCCAAUCACACAGUGCCAUGCUGGUCCGUAAGCUUCAUGAAAUUUCUGUAUAGCUAUUACAAAUGUUGUUAGUUUGAACAUCAAAGCUACGGCUUUGAUUAAGAAAAAUCGUUAACAUCAUCAUCUUCUGAUGUCUGCCUGCAUCGUUGCUGGUUGACUGUGUUAGUAGAUAACCGACACUUCCACUUUGAACUAGUGGUGUUCGGGCAGGUAGUUCAGAUAUCAGAAACACCAGUCAGUGGUAAAUGUCAAGUUUAUUCCAAGUUUUGUUCUUAAGAGAAGAAGCUAAAAGGUGAAUAUUAUAGUGACAAGAAAUGCUACCAAGAGACAGAUUGAUGGAUUAGAUCCAUUUUGGGUCCCUCCAAAGAUGAUACCUUUUAAUAUUAAAUCCUAAAACCAUGAACGUUAGAGCUUGUAUA